GAAAAUUCUGUCAUCAUUUACUCAUUCUCAAGUUGUUCCAAACCUGCAUGAAUUUUUUCUGCUGAACACAAAAGAAGAUUUUUUGAAGAAUAUGGGUAACCAAACAGUUGAUGGGCCCCACUGACUUUCAUAGUAUGGGGGGAAAAAAAGACUAAUGAAGUCAUUGGCUACCAUCAACUGUUUGGUUAAUGACAUUCUUCAAAAUAUCUUCUUUUGUGUUCAGCAAGAAAUUCAUACAGGUUGAGGGUGAGAAUAAAUGAUGACAUUAUCAUUUUUGGGUGAACUAUCCCUUUAACUUGAUUAACAAAGUGGUGAUGGUAAUAGGGGCAUUAGAUGUUAAAAAAAGUGUGGUCAGAACGAAUUUGACUUUUAUUUCCUCUGUUUGAUGUGGGAAGGUUUUUUUUUUUCUUUUUUCUCAUCUUCCUGUCUUUGCUUCAGAGCUGCAGUAGAUUUGGGCAGAAGUUGUGUGGCGGGCACAAGAUUCAUAUUGAGGUGAUUUAAUCUUGGAAACAACAUGAAGAUCAUUCAGCUUCAGCUUUAUGUAUUAAUCUGUUGUCAAGCUGCAGCAGCAGAUCAACUAACUGAUUUGGGAUCAAAUGUGACCAUAAACUGUGAUCUUGAUGAAAAUGAGGUUUAUUGGAUUUUACUGAAAACACCAGAUCCUCCAACAGUGAUUCUACGAUCAUUCCCAACACCAAAGUCACCCUUUUACUAUAAUAAUACAUUCAGAAAAAAAUAUUCAGUGCAAUUUAAACAUCUGGUUAUAAAAAAUGUGACAGCUGAUGAAUUAGGAGUUUAUUACUGUAUGAAAUCAGGCUCACCUCCAAAAUUCAGCAACAGCACCAGACUGUACAUCACCGAAUCAACUCAACUAACUGAGUGUCACAAUCAUACAACUAAGUGUCACAAUCAUACAGCAGUGGAGUUUAUUGAUCAGAAUCAGACACAAUGGCAUAUUAUCAUCAUAUCUGGUCUGAUGAAUGGGCUGCUGGUCAUUGUGCUGAUCGGUGAGAUAUUUUCAGCCAUCUGUUUAAAUAUUAUUAUAGGCUGAAGUUAAUUAAAUAUGUAAAGAUUUUUUUUUUUUAUUUAGGCUUUUGACUAUUUCAUUAUUAUCGUGACAUUUAUGUCACAUGUUGUGACGUGUUGAGAUGUGUUUUAUAUAUAUGAAAGAAUAAUACCUUUUGUAAAUACUGAAACUGAAACAAUGUUCCAAUUUUAGGACUAUUAAAGGUUUUUGUUUUUGGAAUCAGAAGGUUUGCCGAACAAUCACAGCUCAACACUGAUCUACAGUACACACAAGUUGAGGUAAAAAUGAUGUGAAACAAUAAUUAUAACUAAAAUUAAUUUCUGUCUUGAUAAUUGAGAAUUCUUGCUGACCUGUUAUUCCAACAAUAGCAUUCUAUAUUUUAGUUCAUUUUUGUUCAACUGCAGCUGAAAUUGCUAAUAUUGUUCUUUCAGUACGCCACGGUGGACUUUUCCAAGCUGCGUAGAAAUAUUCUCUCCAGCCAAAUCAACAGCACCUAUGCUGCACUAAAGCUGCCAAAGUCAUGAACACAUGAGUAUGACUGAUAUUAUACUUAUUUUGUUCACUUUUCUUUGAUGUUCAACUCUGAAACUUCUUAAAAAAAAAAAAAAAAAAAAAAAACCCACAAUCAGAGAGUUUUAGAAAAAUUACUGUGCAAAAAGUAAAAAUAAAUAUACAAAUAAGUUGAAAUUGACUAAAUUUGAUAUUUCAUUCAUUCUGCUUUCUAAAGACAUUAAUCACAAUUAUUUUAUUGAACUGACAGCUAUAUAUUUACUUUUUAUUUUAUUUUCUUCAGGUUUAUACAUCUAACAGUACUCUAAUAAUGUGUAGAAAAUAUUACCUGGAAAAUAUUUAAUUUUUAUUAGGUGUACACCCAUUUUUUUUUUUUAAUUGUAUAAAUACUGUAUGAAUGUUUUACAUGAAAAUAUGCAGGAUACCUGCUUUUGUAUUUUAGUGGGUCCCGCAAGUGAAUCGUAUUUGAGAGUUGAUGGCAUCAAAACGUUUGAAAACACUGGCUGCAGAUGAAGUGUGUUUAAGAACUUUCAUGUUUGCUAGUUGGUCUGUUUCUCUUUGUUAGUUGGAAGACUUUUGUUUUAGAAUAGCUGCCUUAAUCUAUAUGUGCUGAAACUUUUGUGAGUGGUUGUCACAGUGGAUAAAUCUUUCUUUUAAUACUAUACAUUGAUCUUAGAAUCUUAGAAUUCUGUUAACAGAUGCUGUUCUUCACGAGUUUCUGCGGUCAACUGCCUCUGUGUAAGCGGCC